CUAACAGUAUAACUUUGCAACGAGUACUUUUUCUCAUUCAAUCGAACAAAGAGUAAAACCUAAUUAUCUUNNNNNNNNNNNNNNNNNNNNNNNNNNNNNNNNNNNNNNNNNNNNNNNNNNNNNNNNNNNNNNNNNNNNNNNNNNNNNNNNNNNNNNNNNNNNNNNNNNNNNNNNNNNNNNNACGUUUGUUCUAUGCAUUUGCCCCUCAGAAGUGUGCAAUAUUUUCGAAUUCAGAAUCGAUGUCAAUCGUUCACAAAGAUCCAAACUUGAAGCAACAUUUAAUCUGGGGGCAGCAGUUGCGCCCUAAAGUAUAACUUUGGCAACGAGUACUUUUCUCAGUUCAAAAAAACAAAGAGUGGAAGACCCAAAUUAUAUGUUCUUAUCUAUGCCCCGAGAGUGUAAUCGUCGAGAACGAACGUAUCAAAGUUCACAAGAAACCAAAGCCGGAACAACCAUUAGACACUAGUACUCGGAUUGCGCCCUAAACAAUAUAACGUUUGCAACCGAGUGCUUUUCUCAUUCAAUCGAACAAAGUGUAAAACCUAAUUAUCUUGUUCUAUUAUGCCCCGAGAGUGUAAAUUUCGAACGAAUCGAUGUCAACUUUCACAAGAACGAAGACCGGAACAACAUUAGACAACUCAGUUGCGCCCUAACAGUAUAACUUUGCAACGAGUACUUUUUCUCAUCCAAACAAACAAAGAGUAAAAACCUAAUUAUAUUGUUCUAUUACGCCCCGAGAGUGUAAAAGUGGAACGAAACGAUGUCAGCAUUCACAAGAACCAAAACCGGAACAACAUUAGACUUUUAAGUAGCGCACUAACAGUAUAACUUUGCAACGAGUACUUUUUCUCAUUCAAUCGAACAAAUAGUAAAACCUAAUUAUCUUGUUCUAUUAUGCCCCGAGAGUGUAAAUUUCGAACGAAACGAUGUCAACGUUCACAAGAAUCAAAAUCGGAACAACGUAAGACAACUCAGUUGCGCUCUAACUGUGUAACUUUGCAACAAGUACUUUUUCUCAUUGUAUCGAACAAAGAGUAAAAGCUAAUUAUAUUGUUUUAUUAUGCCCCGAGAGUGUAAAUUUCGAACGAAUCGAUGUCAAUGUUCACAAGAACCAAAACUGAAACAACAUUGACAACAAUUAAAAAACAUACUUCCCCAGUCCAACAUAUUUCUCAUCUCAUAUAUAACUUUCAACACGAGACCGAUGCAAGAAUAAAACCUGACCCAAAUCUUGUUCUAAUUAUGCCCGAGAGUGUAAUAAAAUCCGAACGAGAUCGUGACCAUAGUCAACCGUAUCGACAACAAACAAAACGACAACAUAAACCUAAUUUAAGACAACUCAGCUUGGCGCCCUCAUGUUGAUGCCCGAGAACAGUGUAUAACUUUGAACGAUCAAGAUACGAAAUACUUAUAUUCUCAUAUGUAUUCAAAGUAUCCAACAAACACAUCAUAAAUCCGAACACCAUUUAAUACUCUUUGGCGUCCCUAAUGUACCUCAAUAGUUAACUAUUGCAUACAACAACGUGCUCCAAUUCUUCGCUAUCUACAAAAGAGACAACAACAAAAUCAGAAACUAACAACUUAGGAUCGCACUGAUCCAUGAUGUGCGCUCUCCCGAGAGUCCGUAAAUUAGUCUAACGGGAAACGAGUCAACCUUUCUUUAAGCCACACCAGUACAAGACUCUGUAUCUCAUUCAAUCGNNNNNNNNNNNNNNNNNNNNNNNNNGUUUAACCCCGAGGUUUCGAAAGAAUUAUCGAACUUGUAGCUAAAAAACUAAAGUAUGCGAAGAAUAGAUGCGACAAGUCCCAUAAUUCCAUCACUGUUGGAAGGCCUAAAAGUAAGCUCUAAAUGAUUUGCGAAGGCGUUUUUGGCAUUCGGAACGUGCGCGAAGUUGUGAGAUAUCGAAUUUCGACGCAUUAUUGGCUAACUUUGGUCCAAACAUGGACCAAAGUAAGGCGCACUUGAACGUUUGGGACAAGUUCCAUGCGGUAGUCCGACAAGUUUGGGAGCUACAAAUGGAGUUCCAAAGGUGUUGGCAAUGGUUUUGACAUCGAUCGGCCGCAAGGUAGAGCCGAAACGAAGUUUGAAAAACGCGCAUCUGAAGCUUCGGUUAUCGAGGCUGCCAGGCUCUGUCGAAACAAGGAUCUUGUACGGGUACAAGCACUGCGCAACGAGAGAGCAACUUCUCGGUUGGCUGUCUGCCAAGGCCUAUGUACGAAAAAGGAACCUGGUGUACCGGUACAAGGAGCCGAAAAUAGACAGAAUCAGAGUGGAAAAAUAGAAAAUGGAGGGGGGCUUUUGGGAUUUUAGUUAACAUCUAGAGGCUUAACAUUACCCCUCUAAGCCAUUUGUCCCCUCCAUUUCACUGCCUCUCUCUCUCUCUCUCUUGCUUCUACUCUCUAAACCGAAAGAAGAAAGAUCGAAGAAGAUAAGAGAAGAAGAAAAGGAGAUGUGAAGAAGGAAAAAAAGCGAAAGAAGAAGUUUGGAAGAGAAUGGGAAGAAGAUAUAGAAGGAGAAUCCUUCAUCCUUCUCCUUCAUCUUUCUUGAGCCAUUGGAGUCUUUUUGAGGUACAGCUCUAAUCCUAAAAUGGCAUUUCUUUGGUUUAGGUUUUUUGGUUUGCCUUUGAUGGUUUCAAAUGGACCCCAUUUUGGUUGGAGAGAUGGUUCUAGCUCAUAUUUGAAGCUUAACCAUGGAUUGGCACCAUUGAAUGCAAACCUAGGGUUAGAGUUUGCAAUUUAUAAACCUUAGCAUCUUUGACGAUUUUGAUCUCCCUACAAGCUUUAGAACCUCUGUAGAACCUAGAACACAAUGAAAUCCCAUGUUGUCUUCGUAGUGUUCUAUAUGGUUGGAAUCCUAGGGUUUGUUUUAAAUGCCCUAGGGAUGAUUCUAAUGAGUAUGGAAACAAGUUAGAAGAGCUUCUUAGGGUGUUUCUAAGUCUUAAUUAUGCUUAGCUAUGAGAUCAAUCCCAAGAAGAAAUUAUGAUUUAUGACAUUGUAGGCCACCGAAAUUGGAAUGGUUGGGGCUUUUGCCUUCCGAGUGUUUUUAGGAAAUUGCUUAUAGAAACCUAAAUUUGGGGACUAAAACGAACGCAUUGGUGCGCUCGGUUCGGCACUAUCCGACGCGUACGCGAAGUAUUGACAAAAACGGGUGUUUUGAAGAUAGCCGCAAGCAACGAAUAAGGUAAAAAUCAUGAGAUCGGAAACUGGAGCACCUUGGACGUCAGGAAUAACUCCGGAAAGACGGAUCGCGCGUUCGGAGUCGUUUGUUAAGUGCGCAAGAGUUCGGGCCAAACCGGGAACGGUUGCCGGCGGAGGCCGAUUGCAAGUGACUACAAGCAUCGAUGCUUGUUAAUGUGGGUUGGCUUUACCGAAGCCGGACUACGGUCCCUUAUAUGUCUAAUUAUAGAACUAUCAUGUUGAUGCAUGUUGAUGAUGGCCAUAGUUUGUGUAAAGUAGAAGAUGCAUAGAUAUGUGUAGCGCUAAAGUUGGAUGCAUUCAAAUGUAAUGAAGCAUUGUAAAAUGAUGAUAGUGCUAAAUAAUGAUGAUGAUAGUGGAUGUGAAUUAAUUGCUAAUAGAAUGCAUUAUGAGAUGUUUAAUUUAAAGCUAGAUAAUUUAUGUGAAGAAGGUUGCAUGUAAGAUAAUCGCAUUAGAAUGAAAUGCAUUAUAUGUAUGAUAUAAGUUAAAAUGAUUUAUAUCAGCAUGCAAUGGUUGACAUUGUGAGAUAAUGUGCAUGAAACUAGGUUGAGUAACCUAGAAUGGAUUUAAAGUGAAUUGAUGCUAUGACUAAAGUUAUAAGUGAAUGAGCAUGAAUAUGAAAAUAGUACAUACAAGUACAUCGGUAGAAUGCUUCUCUCUUACAAACAAAGAGUAAAAACCUAAUUAUAUUGUUCUAUUAUGCCGCGAGAGUGUUAUAGUGGAACGAAACAAUGUCAGCAUUCACAAGAACCAAAACCGGAACAACAUUAGACAAUUAAGCAGCGUCCUAACAGUAUAACUUUCCAACAAGUACUUUUUCUCAUUCAAUCAAACAAAGAGUAAAACCUAAUUAGCUUGUUCUAUUAUGCCCCGAGAGUAUAAAUUUUGAACGAAUCGAUGUCAACGUUCACAAGAACGAAAACCGGAACAACAUUAGACUACUCAGUUGCGCCCUAACAGUAUAACAUUGCAACAAGUACUUUUUCUCAUUCAAUCGAACAAAGAGAAAAAUCUAAUUAUUUUGUUCUAUUAUGCCCUGAGAGUGUAAAUUUCGAACGAAUCGAUGUCAACGUUCACAAGAACCUAAACUGAAACAACAUUAGACUACUAAGUUGCACCCUAACAGUAUAACUUUGCAACGAGUACUUUUUCUCAUUCAAUCGAACAAAGAGUAAAAUAUUAUUAUCUUGUUCUAUUAUGCCCGAGAUUGUAAAUUUCGAACGAAUCGUUGUCAACGUUCACAAAAAUCAAAACCAGAACAACAUUAGACUACUCAGUUGCGCCCUAACAGUAUAACAUUGCAACAAGUACUUUUUCUCAUUCAAUCGAACAAAGAGUAAAAUCUAAUUAUUUUGUUCUAUUAUGCCCGAGAUUGUAAAUUUCGAACGAAUCGUUGUCAACGUUCACGAAAACCAAAACCAGAACAAUAUUAGACUACUCAGUUGCGCCCUAAUAGUAUAACUUUGCAACGAGUACUUUUUCUCAUUCAACCAAAUAAAGAGCAAAAACCUAUUUAAACUGUUCUAUUAUGCCCCGAGAGUGUAAUAGUGGAACGAAACGAUAUCAAAGUUCACAAGAACUAAAACCGGAACAACAUUAGACUACUCGGUUGCGCCCUAACAUUAUAACUUUGCAACGAGUGCUUUUUCUUAUUCAAUCAAACAAAGUGUAAAACCUAAUUAUAUUGUUCUAUUUUGCCCCGAGAGUGUAAAUUUCGAACGAAUCGAUGUCAACGUUCACAAGAACGAAAACCGGAACAAUAUUAGAUUACUCAGUUGCGCCAUAACAGUAUAACAUUGCAACGAGUACUUUUUCUCAUUCAAACAAAC
rnacentral:lncRNA from 1 species